GUUGUCCGUCCAAAAAAAAAUCCAAAUCUAAUUGCAAAUAUAAAAAGAUUAAUUUCUAUUUGGUGUUUUUCUUCUUCUCCUAUCCUCCAAAAAGCCCCAUUUAUAAUUCUUCCGUCUUUCUAUUCACCAAAAAAUUUAAUCUUUAUAAUUUAUUUUAGCACAGGGCCCCUAAUUUUAUGAGACGGCCCUGUUAGAACUUAAAUGUACCAUAAGAGAAUUAACAAUGGUGGGCUAGCUCGUGUUUUCUCUGUCGUUUUUCAUCUUCUUUUUUUUCUUUUAUGUGCCUCAUUUUCUUUUCUUUUUUUCUCCUCUUCAAAUAUUGUUGGACUCUAAAUACAAAUUAUUUUUCAUAAACUUUUUGUACCUUGAUUUUUUUUUCUUAUACAAUUUUUUUUAAAAUCGAAUUUAUCACCUAAGAUAUUGAGUCCAUUCAUAAUAUUGUUUUAAAAAUGUCGUGGUUAGAGAUCUAAAUCUAAAUCCAAUUGUUCUAACCACGAUAUUUUUGAACAAAAGAUAUUGAGUACAUUCAUGGUACAUCUGGGUGUACCAUGCUCAUGGUACAUUUAAGGGCAAUUUUGUAAUAAAUUCUUCAAAUAAGUAGAAUCUUACUCAUUCUAAUUACUUAUUUAUCUCCCUUCUUUACUUUUCUUCUACAUUGUCUAUCUUACGUUCAUUUUCUCUUUCCUCCAUUGUUUUUCUUACCUCAAAAUUUCUAUCUUCUUCACUAAUUCUCACCUCCAAAUUUUUUUCUCUUCAAUCGUUUCUCACCUUCAAAAUUUCCUCCUACAUUAAUCAUCUCUCUCCUUCAAAUAUACAACCUUAAUUGAAUCAAUGAAUGACAAAAUAAAUAUUUGGACUCCUAAUUUCAUUAAGUGAAAGUAUUGGGUCAGACCAUCUGACCCCAAUACUUUCCGUCGGACGGACUGAGCAAGCGCAAGGAAGAAGACGAAGAAGAUGCGAAGUGUUUCCUUCUAUAAGGGCAACUGAUUGUUGUUGGCCUCUAACUCCUCAAACGCAGGCGCCGGCGGCAGUGUAAAGCCAGAUUUCCCACUGUGCUCACCCUCCAUUGCCAGAUUUUCAAGAAAGAGUGAAGUGAGUCAAGACAGCAUUGACAUUACAGGUUCACAGAUGCUCUCAUUGGGAAUCUGGAAUGGAGAGACUCUUUAUUACUAGUAUCAUUUAAGUUGUUUUCGUAGGAACUUAUGUUUUCAGACAAUAGUUUUAAGUUGGUGUGUUUUUAGUUCUGACAUUGUUAUUGGUUUCAUAAGUUUUAAUAAAGUCGUUUUAUAAA